rnacentral:lncRNA from 1 species
UUCUAAAAUAAAAAAAAAGUAUUAGUAUUAUAAUUAUUUAUUUAUGUUUUAUUUUUUUUAAACUAGUUAAUCAUCUAUUCGAAUGACAUGUGUUCUUUUAGUUUUCUACAAUUUCUUAAAAACUCGUAAUUAGAACACUUCCAAUAAUAGUAUUAGGAGAAGUUCUUAGUAUUUAAAGAAAAAAAAAAGAAAUGAAAUUAGAAAAAAAAAUGAACUUAGUUAUGAAAUCUUAAGAAACUAUGAGAUAAUAAAAGGACACAUGUCAUUCAAAUAGAUAAUUAACUAAUUUAAAGAAAAUAAAAAAUAAAUAAAUAAUUAUAAUACUAAUAUUUUUCUUUUGUUUUAGAAACUUUCAUGGUUUCUAACCAUUGAAGGUGCUUUUAGAGCAUCAUUAUCAAGAGUUUUUUAAAGUAGUAUUUUAAGUUUCUUAAAUUUUUAGUUAAAAAUUAAGAAACAAUUUUUAUAUUUCUCUAAGAACCCCAGCCUAAGAAACUCGGGAUAAUGAUGAUUUUAGAGUUUUUCCAACGGUAAGUCCUAGACA